GCCCCGUCGGCGGACAUGUGGUUUAUUCGAUGCAACGCGAAGAACCUUACCUGGUCUUGACAUCCACAGAACUUUCCAGAGAUGGAUUGGUGCCUUCGGGAACUGUGAGACAGGUGCUGCAUGGCUGUCGUCAGCUCGUGUUGUGAAAUGUUGGGUUAAGUCCCGCAACGAGCGCAACCCUUAUCCUUUGUUGCCAGCGGUUAGGCCGGGAACUCAAAGGAGACUGCCAGUGAUAAACUGGAGGAAGGUGGGGAUGACGUCAAGUCAUCAUGGCCCUUACGACCAGGGCUACACACGUGCUACAAUGGCGCAUACAAAGAGAAGCGACCUCGCGAGAGCAAGCGGACCUCAUAAAGUGCGUCGUAGUCCGGAUUGGAGUCUGCAACUCGACUCCAUGAAGUCGGAAUCGCUAGUAAUCGUAGAUCAGAAUGCUACGGUGAAUACGUUCCCGGGCCUUGUACACACCCGCCCGUAA
rnacentral:rRNA from 1 species